GUUUCCAGGGGAAAAAAUAUAAGCGGAGAACCCAGCUGGGACGUGCUUGUUGUUCAAUGUUCUGAUUUUUGAAGUUAUUGAAGUCGGCUACUCCUCAGUGGUUUUGGAAAAUGAGCAAAAAUCAAAGUCAGCUGUUUGCCAGGUCAUGAGAUAGGGAGAACUAAAAGAGACAGAAAGGAAGACAUUUUCAAAGAGCAAAAAGAAAUCAAAGAAAACAAUGAAGAUUUCUGUUGGGAUCAUGAAUAGGAUCAAGAAUGGCUUCAAGCCCAUAAGAGGGAAAACCAUACCUCUACAUGUUGAACCCCAGUGGUCAUCUGAGCAGCUUUUGACAGCUGCCAUGAAAAGAACUGAAAGACUACAACCAAGACAUGGAAGAUGGAGUAUACGUCUUGCUCUAUCCUGAUGACUCUCAGAUAAAAAAAUAUCCCUGGGGCUGACACAUCCUCUACCAUUGAAUACUACAAAGAGGCCAUUGGAAAGGCUUGUCAAAGGAUCACAGUGUACAUCUGCACCCUUGAACCCUUGUUGUCAAAAAAUGUUAAUGGAUGCACUGCAGAAACCACAGAUGUAAGGGAGCAGCCCCCUGAGAUGAACACUGCGGUGGACUGGGAAAUAUCAGAGCCACAGCCAAAAAAAAACUUAAAGAACAGCAAAUUGACUGUGAAAUAAGUUGGGGGUCAGAACAACAGCAAGAGCUGGGGGGAGCUGACAACACAGUUGCCCCAGGCUGUGUGAAAAUUGACCUAGGCGAGGAAGACGUAAACAUGCCCUGCAUCGCUGACUUGUACCACAUUAAAGUGGUGGAGUAAGAACCCAACUCUUCAGCCACUAUCUCAGCUGAUGAAGCGAAUGAUGAACACAAGGACAGUUCCUCAUUGGACUAGGAUGCAGUCACAGAUUGCUCACAGCUAUCCCGAAGAGAAGAAAGUGCAAGUGAGAGUCAGGAAUCUCAAAAACAUAAUAAAACGUCAAAGACAACGGAAAUCAAAAUGGAAGAAGUCAAAGAAAUCCCUGCAGAAAACUAUGCUAGAAUUACCAACGAUCAUGCCCUACAAAUCUUUAAUUUCUGCACCAACUGACUGCCAGUCCUUUUUGGCAAGGCUCAGUGAGGGAUAUUCCCAAUGACAAGAAGCCUCUGAUAGCUAAAAUGGGCCUUACAGCAGAUGUGGAAUUGGUGGACUGUGCUUUUGACUGGAGCCAGUGUCGGCCCUUCCUACCCUCAGUGCCAAGGAGCAGGAUCAUGUGAACGUCAAGCAGAUCACCUGGGAGGCAACACAUAGUCUGGAGCACUCCACAUGUGGAUGCAAGGAGUCUGUAGAGGAGCUGCGGAAACUGUGCUUGACCAGCUGUUUCAGGGAGAUCUGCAAACUUAAACCAGGACAGAGCCACGCGGAGCGCCUGAUAUCAAAGAUAAGGAACGGAUUCCCCAGGUGCAAGACAGCACAGAUAGAAGAGGAAAUGAAGACUGAUGUGCUCCGGGAAUACUGUCAGCAUCAGUGUGUCAACUGGUUCCCCUGUGGUUUGGUUGUCCACCCGAACCCUCCAUGGUUGGGUGCGCUGCCUGAUGGGUUGGCAUACGACCCCGAUGGGAAGCCCAGUUUCAGGUUGGUACAUGUCAAAUGUAUCAGGUUCCGAAGCUUCCUCGACUGCGGGUUCCUGGUCUGCCGGGACGGAGCCUUGAAGCUGAAGACGACCCACUCAUACCCCUGGCACAUCCAAGGAGAGAUGAGGGCGACAAGCACGUCAUGGUGUAAUCUGUUUGUCUUCUCCACAGAAGACAUACUGGUUCAACGCAUCUACCACGACAAAGUUAUCAUCAAGGUCAUGAAGAAGAAGUUGCAUGAUUUUUUUUUUCUUUUUUUUUUCUGUUACUACCUGCCAAGUGUAUUUUACACUGGUGUCACAGCUUGAGUGUUUGUGGCAUCGUCACACUGCUGUCAAUACACUACACGUUGAUCCUCAGGUGGUUGGUUGUGAGUUUUAACAGAUUGCAAACGCCUUGAAUGUUGUACAUUUUCUGACCACUACUGCUCUACUGGCAUUAUUAAAUAUGUAACUUUUAUUAUUAGUUCCAUUGAGUCUCGUCAGAAGUAAGUUUGUGUUCUGAAAUUUGUCUCUCAUUCAAGUAUGUUUUCAUUACCGACGGGAACAAUUUUGAUCCUUUUGUAUUUUCUUUUACUUUGAGAUGACUGUUGAAACAGCCAAAUCCUUGCUUCAAUUAGAAAUAGCUGUUUUGAUUCGCCAUGUUUAACCCUCUUACAUCUCCAAAGGCGCCAUGUUCUAGGGCUACAUGUACUGAAAAUAUUAUUUUCAAUAUUGAUCAAUCUGCUAAUAAUUUACGCAAUUAUUGGAUUAAUCGUUUUGUCAACGAAAUGUCAGAAAAACAGUGAAACAAGCCAUCACAAUUUUCCAGAGCCCAAGCUCAAGUUGAUCAUGUCAGAAGGUAUUCAGUUUACCAUCAGAAACCAGAAAACAUACACAUUUGAGAAGCUGGAACAAGGUAAUAUUUGCACUCAAGUAAAUGACUUAAAUGAUUAAUCCAUUACUAAAAUUGUUUUGUUUUUGCAGCACCAUCCCUGCAAGUCAUGUAAUUAUGUAGGAUAACAACAAUUUCUUUCUCUGAAUGACUUUUUGGCAGACAAAAGGAACAUAUAUUCUCCCAUGUGUAGCCCAUAAAGCAUAAAAUAUUUGCUCUUUUGUUGUA